rnacentral:rRNA from 1 species
UACGUAGGGGGCAAGCGUUGUCCGGAUUUAUUGGGCGUAAAGAGCGUGUAGGCGGCCAGAUAGGUCUGUUGUGAAAACUCGAGGCUCAACCUCGAGACGCCGAUGGAAACCGUCUGGCUAGAGUCCGGAAGAGGAGAGUGGAAUUCCCGGUGUAGCGGUGAAAUGCGCAGAUAUCGGGAAGAACACCCGUGGCUAAGGCGGCUCUCUAGUACGGUACUGACGCUGAGACGCGAAAGCGUGGGGAGCGAACAGG